rnacentral:SRP_RNA from 1 species
GCUGGUAGCAUGUACCUGUAAUCCCUGCUACUGGGGAGGCUGAGGCUGUGGAUUACUAGAACUCAGGAAUCUUGAGCUGCAGUAAAACUAAAGCCCAUCAGGUACCCAAAGAAAGUCUGGCACCAAUAUGGUGAGCCCUUGGAAAUGGGGGCCGCCAGGCUGCCUAAAGAGGAACAAACUGACCCAGGUUGGAGACAGAGCAGGUAAAGCUUCCAUACCUAUCAGUCAUGGGUUCAGGCCUGUGAGUGGCCACUGGACUUCUAACCUGGGAAAAGUAGUGAGACUCGGUCUCAA